UAAGAGAGAGAGAGAAAAAGGUAUCUCGAUCUCAUGGAGUUUCGAAGAGGCAAGACGACACUGGUUCCCUCGUGUGGACGAAAUCCAUCGUGUUAUCCGCUCUCUCCCCCUCUCAAACAAAGCCAGACCGUUUGGUUUCACACUUUCUCUUCUCUAAUGGUCUCCCGAACCCUUAGCUAAUCCGAAUGGCACUCUCUCUCUUCCCUUGCCAUCACCACUCUCUGGCUCUCAUCCGUAGCCCUCUCAACUACUUUCCCAUUUUAGAGACAGGGAAGAGACCCUCGAACAGGAACUCAACUGGGUUUCCAUGUCGCUGCUCAUGCUCUUCCUCCAAUGGUGGUGCAGAACCAGCCACGCAAUCUUUACAGCAUGACGGAAGAAGGGCACUGCUUGGCGCUCUUCUCACAACUGUUGCGGGAGUCUAUGCCUGUGAUGUAGCUGAGGCUGUUAGCACGAGUAGAAGAGCUCUUAGAGGAGCAAAAGUACCUGAAAGUGAAUUUAAAACUCUUCCCAGUGGUCUGAAGUACUAUGAUUUGAAGGUUGGGGGUGGAGUUCAGGCUGUGAAGGGAUCUCGGGUUGCAGUUCACUACGUUGCGAAAUGGAAAGGCAUCACUUUUAUGACUAGUAGACAAGGACUGGGUGUUGGAGGAGGAACGCCAUAUGGAUUUGAUGUAGGCCAAUCUGAGAGGGGAACGGUGCUUAAAGGACUGGAUCUAGGUGUACAGGGCAUGCGGGUUGGAGGCCAGCGAUUACUAAUUGUUCCUCCUGAGCUAGCUUAUGGAAGCAAAGGAGUCCAGGAAAUCCCACCCAAUGCAACAAUAGAGAACCUUUGACUUGCUUUCUACUGUGGUUGGAUCAUCACACCAUUUGGAUGUUGAACUACUGGCCAUUAAACAAAGCCCAUUUGGGUCUCCUGUUAAAAUUGUUGAGGGUUAAUGCAAUGAGUAACGAUACCCACACAAAAUGUCCUGCUGCUGCAGUCAUGUUGGUUUGUUGUGGAUGACUGAAAAGAAGGAUCCCUCCUCGUAUGGCGGUUUCUGUAAAUUGUGAACCUGCAAUUACAUGUGUUUCGGGACAAGAAAAAAUGUCAACUAAAAUUAAUGUUUGUGAAUGUUGUUUUAGGUCGUGUCUAAGACUACUAAAAGUACGUGUCUUUAGAUCUCAGAAUUCAUCCCAAGUCCCGUUAUUUUCUGAUAAUUUCUUUUCUUUUAA